AGAGUAAAACAGUACGUGAAAUUGUUGAAAGGGAAACGCUUGAAGUCAGUCGUGCCGGCGGGGAUUCAGCGAACUUCGCGGAGUGAGCGUAUUUCCUCGCAUGGCAGGUCAGCGUCAGUUUCGCGCGGCGUGAAAUGGUUCGGGUAAGGUAGCUCUCUCCGGGGAGUGUUAUAGACCUGAGCAGAUGCGGCGCGCGGGACUGAGGAUUGCAGCGGACACCCUUCGGGGCGCGGCGACCGGCCCCUGCUCUGUCACCCGUGCUCGAUAGCGUGCUAACGGGCGGGGGAGCGGCGGUUGCACCGGGUUGGCAAGCCGGCGGUUUCGCUAAGGACGCUGACGUAAUGGCUUUAAACGACC
rnacentral:rRNA from 1 species